GAAGUUUCUACUGAGAAUAGUGCCGUUCUCUGGUUUGGUGAGACCCGUGGAACCUGGAAACAGACAUAACCUCGAUGUAUGUAAGUAGUGAGAAUCCUAAUAUUCGUUCUUGGACAUGUAGAAAUGGAAGUGAUGGCAUUGGCUGGCAUCCAGGAUCCCAAACACCUCGCCCUUUGGAAAUGUCACUUGCCCUUUGGAGAUGUUCAUGGCAGAGCCCAAGUCCGGGGAAGCAGCAUAUACCUGGGGAAACUCUUCUUCCACCACCCAGUACCUAUUAGUCCAAAGCUACUUGAGCCCUGGGAAUGGCAAUGCC